ACAAUGCAAGGUGACGUGCAGUGGCAUGGUGUGAGAGGCGGGACCAACGUCAUUGGAUAUACAUCAGAGACCCUAGGUGCAGGCGACGAGGUCGAGGGUCCAGCGUCGUGAACAACGUGUCCUCAGGGGUCCAGCGUCACAGUCGGGAAUGGGUGUGUUUUCUCUACACAUCAAUGACUUGCAGAACGUUUCUGGAUACAAAUGACAUACUCUAAUUGGUGGUAACACAACAAUAGUAGCUGGUGGAGCCAAGGCAAGGGCUGUUCUGUAAUCUCAGCUCCAAUACCAGCCGGAAGUCCCUUGAACUUGUGGAGCCGCAGACCUUGCAACACUACGGCUGCUGGAGUCGCUGGUCCUUUGCCAACACUGGAGCUCUUGGUGUCCAGCUUUCAUCACAGGCUGACGACAGUCAGUCUCAAGGAAUUCAUUCAAUCAAAAUCUCAUCAAGAUUAGCCAAAACCCUGUUAGUUUUCCACUAUCAAAUCCAAACUCGUUGCAUUAUAUUUGUAACAAAUUUAGUAAUCUGCAGAUUUAAUCAAAUUGAAAUUGAAAAUAUAUUUUUCAUAACAUUGUAUUCCAAUUUUGCAUGAAUUGAUAAAGCAUAAAGAAUA